UGAUUCUUCGGAUGAAGGUUUUUGUGACUGAGUGGCGGACGGGUGAGUAACGCGUGGGUAACCUGCCUCAUACAGGGGGAUAACAGUUAGAAAUGACUGCUAAUACCGCAUAAGACCACGGAGCCGCAUGGCUCAGUGGGAAAAACUCCGGUGGUAUGAGAUGGACCCGCGUCUGAUUAGGUAGUUGGUGGGGUAACGGCCUACCAAGCCAACGAUCAGUAGCCGACCUGAGAGGGUGACCGGCCACAUUGGGACUGAGACACGGCCCAAACUCCUACGGGAGGCAGCAGUGGGGAAUAUUGCACAAUGGGGGAAACCCUGAUGCAGCGACGCCGCGUGAGCGAAGAAGUAUUUCGGUAUGUAAAGCUCUAUCAGCAGGGAAGAAAAUGACGGUACCUGACUAAGAAGCACCGGCUAAAUACGUGCCAGCAGCCGCGGUAAUACGUAUGGUGCAAGCGUUAUCCGGAUUUACUGGGUGUAAAGGGAGCGUAGACGGCUGUGUAAGUCUGAAGUGAAAGCCCGGGGCUCAACCCCGGGACUGCUUUGGAAACUAUGCAGCUAGAGUGUCGGAGAGGUAAGUGGAAUUCCCAGUGUAGCGGUGAAAUGCGUAGAUAUUGGGAGGAACACCAGUGGCGAAG
rnacentral:rRNA from 1 species